CGCAGCCACAGAACCGGAAGUGAGGGGCGGAGUUAUUGACAACGAGAGAGCACGAGACAUAUAAGGAUUCAGAGAGUUGACACAUUACCUGAGCUGCAGCAGUGCAACAAGUGUUACAGCAAUUACCAGCAAUUUUCUGCUUGACCAGCAUGUUUAAGCCAGCCAAACUGGUCAAAUUAAUAAGUCAUCUUCAAAUCCACUUCAACAUGCAGUUGUCUGUGGAGUACAUCUUGUCUUGGGAGCACCCUUUGAUUUUACAUCUUGUGACAUUCCAAUCAUACGGAGAUGGUGGACUCCAGAUGGUUUUCUCUGAAAGUGCAGAAACCCUACAAGAGGCCCUUCCAAUUGGAUAACAGGCUACGCUUGUGAGGUAUGUCUCAAAUAUAUCUAUCUA